rnacentral:rRNA from 1 species
AUUGAACGCUGGCGGCAGGCCUAACACAUGCAAGUCGAACGAGUGGCGGACGGGUGAGUAAUGUCUGGGAAACUGCCCGCUGGAGGGGGGUAACUACUGGAAACGGUAACUAAUACCGCAUACCAUCGGAUGUGCCCAGAUGGGAUUAGCUAGGAGGUGGGGUAACGGCUCACCAAGGCGACAAUCCCUAGCUGGUCUGAGAGGUUGACGAGCCAAACUGGAAAUGAGACACGGUCCAGACUCCUACGUGAGGCAGCAGUGGGGAAUAUUGCACAAUGGGCGAAAGCCGGAUGCAGCCAUGCGGGGUGUAUGAAGAGGGCCUUCGGGUUGUAAAGUACUUUCAGCGAGGAGGCGUUACUCGCAGAAGAAGCACCGGCUAACUCCGUGCCAGCAGCCGCGGUAAUAC